rnacentral:rRNA from 1 species
GAUGAACGCUGGCGGCGUGCCUAAUACAUGCAAGUCGAGCGAACGGACGGGAAGCUUGCUUCUCUGAUGUUAGCGGCGGACGGGUGAGUAACACGUGGAUAACCUACCUAUAAGUCUGGGAUAACUUCGGGAAACCGGAGCUACUACCGGAUGAUAUUUUGAACCGCAUGGUUCAAAAGUGAAAGACGGUCUUGCUGUCUCUUAUAGAUGGAUCCGCGCUGCAUUAGCUAGUUGGUAAGGUAACGGCUUACCAAGGCAACGAUGCAUAGCCGACCUGAGAGGGUGAUCGGCCACACUGGAACUGAGACACGGUCCAGACUCCUACGGGAGGCAGCAGUAGGGAAUCUUCCGCAAUGGGCGAAAGCCUGACGGAGCAACGCCGCGUGAGUGAUGAAGGUCUUCGGAUCGUAAAACUCUGUUAUUAGGGAAGAACAUAUGUGUAAGUAACUGUGCACAUCUUGACGGUACCUAAUCAGAAAGCCACGGCUAACUACGUG